rnacentral:rRNA from 1 species
UACAGAGGUCUCAAGCGUUGUUCGGAUUCAUUGGGCGUAAAGGGUGCGUAGGUGGCGCCGUAAGUCGGGGUGUGAAAUUUCGGAGCUUAACUCCGAAACUGCAUUCGAUACUGCGGUGCUUGAGGACUGGAGAGGAGACUGGAAUUCAUGGUGUAGCAGUGAAAUGCGUAGAGAUCAUGAGGAAGACCAGUGGCGAAGGCGGGUCUCUGGACAGUUCCUGACACUGAGGCAACGAAGGCCAGGGGAGCAAACGGG